rnacentral:piRNA from 1 species
GAAGAGCAAAGAGUGCUUUUGAGACCCCAAA